GUUUGCGACCUCGAUGUUGAUUUAAAAUUGCCGCGGUAUUUUGACCGUGCAAAGGUAGCAUAAUAAUUAGUUUUUUUAUUGAAAGCUGGAAUGAAUGAUUGGACGAGAAAAUUACUGUCUCUUUUUAAUUUUUUUUUGAAUUUAACUUUUAAGUAAAAAGGCUUAAAUUUUUAUUGAAGACGAGAAGACCCUAUAGAGUUUUAUAGUAUUUUAAUUAAAAAUUUAUUUGGAAUUUUUUAAUUUUUUAAUUUUGUAUUAUUUGGUUGGGGUGACUAAAAGAUUUAUUUAACUCUUUUAAUUUUUAUAUCAUUGAUUUAUGAUUUUUUAAUCUAGAUUGUCUAAAUUUAAUAUAAAUUACCUUAGGGAUAACAGCGUAAUUUCUUUUUAGAGUUCUUAUUGAGAAAGAAGUUUGCGACC
rnacentral:rRNA from 1 species